CGUGAUCACUGAGAGUUUUUUUCAAAACUUUUUGGGCUACUAAUUUUUAUUUUUCUGUGGGCUCUUACCAACUGGCCCAUCUUCUUUAGGGUUUCUAGCUCCUGCUAUAAGGAUUUGGCUCCUCCACUCACUCUUCGUCUCUUUGAAAGUCAAAGGAGAGACUCUGUAAGUUCUAACGUCGUAUGUUUCUUCUUUCAGUCUCAUCAUUUAUUGCUUACCCACUACUCAUCCCACUCUCUCUGAAUUAAACAUCAUCAUUAUCAUCAAUGGUAGCCGCUUGAGACUCUCAACUAUAAAACGGUCCCUUCUCUGCGAUGAAUAGCCACAGUUAUACGGGAUCCCUAAUAUGUUUUUCCUGGAUGAGAAGGUAAGUCCGGCGAGCUCUGUCUUCGUUUUUAUAGAUUCUUACAUAGAUUACGAGUCCUCUCUUGGAAUUCAAUUACGUUUUCUCCCCACGAAGACUAUGUCUUUGGUUUUAUCUUCUAUCUAAGUCAUAUGGAGUUUGCGUCUCCGACUACGUAACGCUUUUACUUUUUCGCCAUAGACCACCAUAUGUGCACCUUGGACGAAGUUACCAUUAUAUUUCAAUUGUUUUCCUGACUGGUGCUUGAAGAUAUAGCUCUGGUGUAUUGAAUUCUCUUUAUGCAAGAUUUACUCUCUUAAAAGGAUAGUAGACAAAGGUCAUGACGGUUGGAAACUCGGUAGAGAGUUGCAAAGAUGAGUCUAAGCCUCAAAACUGUUUUGAAUAGAAGUGGGAAGAUGCAGAGCCAAGGGCCCGGAAAAUAGGAAGAAGAUAACAAUGUCCGUGAGCUGUUCUAUGAUACAAGAACCAGUGAGGACUCGGAAAAAUAAAAUGAUGGAAACCAUUCUUGUGGAGUUCUGAUUGAGACUGGAAAGAAGCUACGAUUUUAUAACAUCAAUGCUAAUAGUUGUUCUCCUGAGAUAGUUUUCAGGCGUUUUAUAUAGACAAGCAUGUUAUAAGGAGAACACUUAUCAUGUUGUGAAAGGACAUGUGUCCAUGAAGGUGUGACAGUCCAGGAGAAGUUCAAUAUUCGUUGAGAAAGAUUCUUUGUAUUGUACCUUUUUGGGGAUUUGUAAUAUAAAGCUAACAUAUUCUUUGAUUAUUUUAUUUCAUUUAAUUAUGUGAUC